rnacentral:lncRNA from 1 species
UCGCUGCUUGUCUUCCAACCAGAAACUUCGUGACGACCUGCUUGUAUUUAUCUGAUAGUUCGUACUUAGGCAGGUAGGUCACGAAGCGGAAGCCGCGCUGCAUGCUGUGAAGCUCCUUGUACACCCCGAGGUACUCCGCACGGCGGGCCAGCAGGACACGGACAUUCCGCAAUGGAAAAUGCUCCCUGCAGCACGUAAUGGUUAACAGAAUACCACAUCGCAAUUUCGUCAGCUUCACCCUCGCCGGCAUUUCCAUGCUCAUACGCUAAAGGCGACAUUACACCUCAACAAGGGAAGGUGAUGGCUGUUCCUCAUAACUACAUACAAUGACAGCUAACUGACCUGCAGUCGUUAAUUAUGGCCCGACCGGCAUGCUGCCACCAGGCCGCUGGUGACUCGGCCACAGUGACUGUAGGACGCUGACUCCAGUACACGCUGUACUUCUCGUACGUCACGGCCCGAUCCACAAUGCGCAGCAAGUGAGCUACGCCCUCUGGUGCUAAUUCUAGGACGAAUGCUUUCAGUACGGCCUCCACAUGAAUGGCGAAGCCAGCACCGCAGCCAAUUGCCAGCGUUGUGUCGGCAUCCUGAGCACCCCGAGCACAUACGGGCUGUGGCAGUAGGGAUGACUGAGGAUCUGCCACGCGCGAUAGCCGCGACAGGUUUGACGGCUGAUGUAUGCGCCGGCCCGUACCCUGUGUGGCAGGUAAUGGCUGCGUGUCCAAGCCGGCUGUACGCCUGGGGAAGGUGCUGACGCUGCUCGGAACUGGAUCCCAGCUUACACUGGAAACCAACUGGUCAGCAGAUCGUUGCUG